UUAUCAUGAUUAUUUAUUGCUUGAAGUGUCUGUACUGAACUGUCUGUAUUGGAACCAUGCCCAAGUAUAGACUGCAUGGGAUGAGUAUUGUAAUGAUUCGACUGUUGACACAAUGGUCUAGCCUUCUACCUGAUGGUGUCAAUGUAAAAGUGUUGUAGAGUUGUGAUUCAUGUGGAAAAGUUGAUGACACGAUCUGCUUAUUGUUUUUCAUAAAUCUUCUUGAAGGUGCAUCAUCAUCAGCGUAAUCUUGCAGCAUGACUAUCACAGAAAUGUUUGUUACUGAUGAUCAGCUUGACGAGCUUUCAAGCUCGUUCCUAUCAUCUAAAUACUGCAUUCUUUGUAACUCGCUCGGCCUACUCUGCAAUCAAGGGGCCAUGAUCUUAGCAUUGCAAGGCGGAAACUACCAGAAAGCCCUCGGGGUGGUUCUGCGACUGUGGAAGGAGAGAACUGGUGGUAGCCGAGCACGUCUUCAUGCAGCUCUGCGGGAUGCUGGAGCGGGAGAACUCAUCCGGGAAUAAGAUAUAGAAAUUACUUUACUGAUUAUUACAAUUGUGAUGAUACAUGCACAAUAAUUUUCAUCGGAUAAUUGCAUAAUUGAUUUUCACGGUUUUUCACAUUGCCUCAAAAUAAGCAGGCAAACGUAUUUUUAAUUAUUAAAGAAUCCGAAAUAGAGACAUUUAGCAUUGGCAAUUUAUAUCGCACUAGGAAUUUCACAUUUUAAGUUACACUUUAUAUGUAAAUAAAUGAAUUUAAUAAACAAAUUGUUUAGUUUCUGAAUGAGGGAAACAAAUCCGACGGAAUAUCGAGUGGGAUUUGAAUAACACGUUCUGUGUAUUUAUGCUCGGUUAAUGACGAGUUUCUCCGCUUUACAAAUCCAACUUAUCUAAUGUCAUUUCAAUGAGAAACUAAAUAAAUAGAUAUACAUUGUUGGUCUACACAUAUUAAAAUUGUACCAAUAAGUUCUAACGCACUGUACAUUUAAUAGAAACUCAAAUUCUUAUAAAAGACUUUAUUUCGUCCACAUUGGCUCCACUGUUAUAAUAUCAUCGCUUCCAUUUUAACUAUGGGAGUGAAAAAGGAAAUCAAUAAAUACAUCGUGAUAGGAAUUUGAUAUUUUUAUCACGUAACUGACCAUA